GCCCGUAUACACAAAACUUGUUAGCACUAACAAAUAGCUAUCAAGGGUAACAAAUUCCUGUUAUGGCUAACAUUUAGCUGUUAAGCACUGACAGUGGAUACAGAAAACUUGAUAGGGCCUUAAAAGUACUGUUAAGGUAAAAGUGCUGUGGAGGAGUAUUAAGCUCUUAACAAAUUCCUGUUGGUAGAGAUGGCGGAGCAACAACAACAAUUACAAAGACGACAGCGAGUGUAUCGACAGCGACGGGACGCAUUCAACGAGUACAAUGACGACGAACUCAUCAAACGCUUCAGGAUGAACCGUGCUGACGGGAACUAUGGCCAGAACUGAAGAGAUGUCAUUCUUACGCUCUGCAGCAGUGGCGGCCUCACCCCAGCUCAGGAUAGUGAUGGGCGAACCGAGUACUUUCUGCAAACCGAGUAUUUCGGUAUUGAUUACACUGUGAAACCGAGUAAACCGAGUACGAAAU